rnacentral:rRNA from 1 species
UACGUAGGUGGCAAGCGUUGUCCGGAUUUACUGGGCGUAAAGAGCGCGCAGGCGGCCGAGUAAGUCGAAUGUGAAAGCCCCCGGCUCAACUGGGGAAGGUCAUUCGAUACUGUUCGGCUUGAAGAUAGGAGAGGGAAGCGGAAUUUCAGGUGUAGUGGUGAAAUGCGUAGAUAUCUGAAGGAACACCAGUGGCGAAGGCGGCCGACUGGGCCGGAUCUGACGCUGAGGCGCGAAAGCGUGGGGAGCAAACAGG